rnacentral:rRNA from 1 species
GAUGAACGCUGGCGGCGUGCCUAACGCAUGCAAGUCGAGCGAGGACCGCCCGGUGGCAACACCGGGUUGGUGCCGAGCGGCGAACGGGUGAGUAACACGUGGGUAACCUGCCCCCGACACCGGGAUAAGCCUGGGAAACUGGGUCUAAUACCGGAUAUGAGCCUCCUCCGCAUGGUGGGGGCUGGAAAGGGUCUCCGGUCGGGGAUGGGCCCGCGUCCUAUCAGCUUGUUGGUGGGGUAACGGCCUACCAAGGCGACGACGGGUAGUCGGCCUGAGAGGGUGUACGGCCACACGGGGACUGAGACACGGCCCAGACUCCUACGGGAGGCAGCAGCGGGGAAUAUUGCGCAAUGGGCGAAAGCCUGACGCAGCGACGCCGCGUGCGGGACGAAGGCCUUCGGGUUGUAAACCGCUUUCAGCAGGGACGAAGCGAAAGUGACGGUACCUGCAGAAGAAGGUCCGGCCAACUACGUGCCAGCAGCCGCCGCGGUAA